AUUGAACGCUGGCGGCAGGCCUAACACAUGCAAGUCGAGCGAGUGGCGGACGGGUGAGUAAUGUCUGGGAAUCUGCCUGAUGGAGGGGGAUAACUACUGGAAACUGUAGCUAAUACCGCGUACCAUAGGAUGAGCCCAAAUGGGAUUAGCUAGUAGGUGGGGUAAAGGCUCACCUAGGCGACGAUCUCUAGCUGGUCUGAGAGGAUGAGCAGCCACACUGGGACUGAGACACGGCCCAGACUCCUACGGGAGGCAGCAGUGGGGAAUAUUGCACAAUGGGCGCAAGCCUGAUGCAGCCAUGCCGCGUGUAUGAAGAAGGCCUUAGGGUUGUAAAGUACUUUCAGCGGGGAGGCGUUACCCGCAGAAGAAGCACCGGCUAACUCCGUGCCAGCAGCCGCGGUAAUAC
rnacentral:rRNA from 1 species